rnacentral:rRNA from 1 species
UAAGGAAUCUUCCACAAUGGGGGCAACCCUGAUGGAGCAACGCCGCGUGAAGGAUGAAGGCCUUAGGGUCGUAAACUUCUUUUGUUAGCGAAGAAUAUGACGGUAACUAACGAAUAAGGGUCGGCUAACUACGUG